CCUACGGGGGGCAGCAGUGAGGAAUAUUGGUCAAUGGCCGUAAGGCUGAACCAGCCAAGUCGCGUGAAGGAAGACGGAUCUAUGGUUUGUAAACUUCUUUUAUCGGGGAAUAAAGGUAUCCACGUGUGGAUAUUUGCAUGUACCCUAUGAAUAAGCAUCGGCUAACUCCGUGCCAGCAGCCGCGGUAAUACGGAGGAUGCGAGCGUUAUCCGGGUUUAUUGGGUUUAAAGGGUGCGUAGGUUGGUUUUUAAGUCAGCGGGGAAAGUUUGUGGCUCAAAAAUAGAAUUGCCGUUGAAACUGGAAGACUUGAGUGGGUGUGAGGUAGGCGGAAUGCGUGGUGUAGCGGUGAAAUGCAUAGAUAUCACGCAGAACUCCGAUUGCGAAGGCAGCUUACUAAGCCAUAACUGACGCUGAGGCACGAAAGCGUGGGGAUCAAACAGGAUUAGAUACCCGAGUAGUC
rnacentral:rRNA from 1 species